GGAGGGAUCGGGUUCUCCUAGGAAGUUUCAGGGAAACGUUGUGUUCUGUUAGUCUUGGAGGCCAAGGCUGAGUGGGUUUAUCUCUGUGCCCCUCCAGUGACUUCAAAGAAUGCCAAAAGUCUCUCGAGUGUGCCUGUGUGCACACACAGACACACACAAAGCACAUCUUCACAAUGAAAUCUUCACAAGCUCAGAACCAUCAACUUGCUACACUGUGUUCCUCCAGUGCCCAGUUCACAGGAAGCACUCAAGAGUAGGAUCAAUUGUUAUCAACCUCUAGCAGAUUAUUGAAUAGACGGUCGUUACAUGAAACUGACACUCAGUUCUUCAUGGUCCACGAUAGUUCUUAUAUCCAGAAAACGUACUUACGUUAUCAACUCUGACUCCAUAAGACAACUUUGCAAAGUCUUGGCUCAUAACUAUGUAAGCAAUGAGAUAACUUAGUUUUCAUUUCUCACUUGUUACUUACAAGUAAACAGCCCUGCAGCUCAGCUGAGCUACAGAUUAACUACAGGUAAUCACUUCAGCGAUUCUGCUUUACCCAUGCCCAAGAUUUUAAAAAAGAACCUGACAGAUCAUUAAAUUUUGAGAUUUGCUUUUUAAAAUGCAGGUUCCAUAAAGUUACGCUGUUUUGCUUAUAUAUACAGCAACAAAUGCCUUCUUAGAUAUUUACUUUAAAAUUCUAGUUUCCUUACCAUGUAUUAGCCAGAUAAUCUGUCAUUUUUUAAAUUCUGAAAUUGUACAUAUAUAAAUUAAUGUAC
rnacentral:lncRNA from 1 species